rnacentral:rRNA from 1 species
GACGAACGCUGGCGGCGUGCUUAACACAUGCAAGUCGAACGGAAAGGCCCUGCUUGCAGGGUACUCGAGUGGCGAACGGGUGAGUAACACGUGGGUGAUCUGCCCUGCACUUCGGGAUAAGCCUGGGAAACUGGGUCUAAUACCGGAUAGGAGCCAUUUUUAGUGUGAUGGUUGGAAAGUUUUUUCGGUGUAGGAUGAGCUCGCGGCCUAUCAGCUUGUUGGUGGGGUAAUGGCCUACCAAGGCGGCGACGGGUAGCCGGCCUGAGAGGGUGGACGGCCACAUUGGGACUGAGGGACGGCCCAGACUCCUACGGGAGGCAGCAGUGGGGAAUAUUGCACGAUGGGCGCAAGCCUGAUGCAGCGACGCCGCGGGGGGGAUGACGGCCUUCGGGUUGUAAACUCCUUUCGCUAGGGACGAAGCUUUUUGUGACGGUACCUAGAUAAGAAGCACCGGCUAACUACGUG